rnacentral:tRNA from 1 species
GACCCUGUGGCCUAAUGGAUAAGGCGUCUGACUUCUAAUCAGAAGACUGCAGGUUCGACCCCUGCCAGGGUCG